AAUCGAACCCGGAGAUAGCUGGUUCUCCUCGAAAUAGCUUUAGGGCUAGCCUCUGGUUAGUCUGCCGCAGGUAGAGCACUGAAUUUCCUAGGGGGCGUCAAAGCCUACCGAAGAAUAUCAAACUGCGAAUGGCGGACAGAUGAUGCCAGGGAGUCAGACUGCACGAGAUAAGUUGGGUGGUCAAAAGGGAAAGAGCCCAGACCUACAGCUAAGGUCCCAAAGUGUGUGUUAAGUGGAAAAGGAUGUGGGAUUUCGAAGACAACUAGGAUGUUGGCUCAGAAGCAGCCACACAUUAAAAGAGUGCGUAAUAGCUCACUAGUCGAGAGGUCCUGCGCCGAAAAUGUCCGGGGCUAAAACACAACACCGAAGCUUAGGAAUUCUAAUGAAUUGGUAGAGGAGCAUUGAAGACGGAACGAAGCCAUACCGAAAGGAAUGGUGGACUGUCUUGAAGAGAGAAUGCCGGAAUGAGUAGCGAGAUUGAAGUGAGAAUCUUCAAGGCCGAAUAUCUAAGGUUUCCAGGGUAAAGCUGAUCUGCCCUGGGUAAGUCGGGGCCUAAGGCAAGGUCGAAAGACGUAGUCGAUGGAUAACAGGUUGAAAUUCCUGUACUGCAUCAAAUCAGAAAUGUGGGGACACAUGAGGGAAGCAUGAGCCGGAAAAGGAAAGUCCGGUACAAGCGCAGCAGAGGACAGAUAGGCAAAUCCGUCUGUCAACUCAAGGGCGCGAUGUGGAGCGAACCAAAGUAGCGAAGCAUGUGGAGCUUGUGUCGAGAAAAGCCGCUAUAGUGUUUGAUGUACCCGUACCGUAAACCGACACAGGUGGAUGAGGAGAGAAUCCUAAGGCCGGCGGGAGAAGCAUUGUUAAGGAACUCGGCAAAAUGACCCCGUAACUUCGGGAGAAGGGGUGCUCCAGAGAUGGAGCCGCAGAGAACUGGCCCAAGCAACUGUUUAGCAAAAACACAGGUCUAUGCAAAACCGAAAGGUGAGGUAUAUGGGCUGACGCCUGCCCGGUGCUGGAAGGUUAAGAGGAGAGGUUAGCGCAAGCGAAGCUUUGAAUUUAAGCCCCAGUAAACGGCGGCCGUAACUAUAACGGUCCUAAGGUAGCGAAAUUCCUUGUCGGGUAAGUUCCGACCCGCACGAAAGGCGUAAUGAUUUGGGCACUGUCUCGACAAUGCACCCGGUGAAAUUGAAAUACCAGUGAAGAUGCUGGUUACCUGCGCCAGGACGGAAAGACCCCAUGGAGCUUUACUCUAGCUUGAUACUGGGGUUCGGUAUUGCAUGUACAGGAUAGGUGGGAGACUGAGAAGAUGUGUCGCCAGAUGCAUCAGAGUCGAUGUUGGGAUACCACCCCUGCAGUACUGGGCUUCUAACCUGCAGCCGUGACCCGGCUGGGGGACAAUGUCUGGUGGGGAGUUUGACUGGGGCGGUCGCCUCCGAAAGGGUAUCGGAGGCGCUCAAAGGUUCCCUCAGAAUGGUUGGAAACCAUUCGAAGAGUGCAAAGGCAGAAGGGAGCUUGACUGCGACACCGACGGGUGGAGCAGGUACGAAAGUAGGACUUAGUGAUCCGGUGGUAUGAAAGUGGGAUUGCCAUCGCUCAACGGAUAAAAGCUACCCUGGGGAUAACAGGCUUAUCACUCCCAAGAGUUCACAUCGACGGAGUGGUUUGGCACCUCGAUGUCGGCUCAUCGCAUCCUGGGGCUGUAGUAGGUCCCAAGGGUUGGGCUGUUCGCCCAUUAAAGCGGUACGCGAGCUGGGUUCAGAACGUCGUGAGACAGUUCGGUCCCUAUCCGGCGUGGGCGUAGGAUAUCUGAGAGGAGCUGUCCUUAGUACGAGAGGACCGGGAUGGACUGACCUCUGGUGCACCGGUUGCAUUGCCAAAUGCAUAGCCGGGUAGCCAAGUCGGGACGGGAUAAACGCUGAAGGCAUCUAAGCGUGAAGCCCCCCUCAAGAUGAGAUAUCCCAUAACAUAAGUUAGUAAGACCCCUUGA
rnacentral:rRNA from 1 species